AGGGGAGUGAAAAAGAACCUGAAACCGUGUACGUACAAGCAGUGGGAGCCCCACCACUAAGCCAGUGGUGAACUCCACAUACGCAUCCUUUGCUGAGGAUACGGUUAACGGAGCGAAAGCGACGUUCAACCUCAAAAGAAGCAGAGGGGGCUUAGUGGUGGGGUGACUGCGUACCUUUUGUAUAAUGGGUCAGCGACUUAUAUUCUGUAGCAAGGUUAACCGAAUAGGGGAGCCGGAGGGAAACCGAGUCUUAAUUGGGCGUUAAGUUGCAGGGUAUAGACCCGAAACCCGGUGAUCUAGCCAUGGGCAGGUUGAAGGUUGGGUAACACUAACUGGAGGACCGAACCGACUAAUGUUGAAAAAUUAGCGGAUGACCUGUGGCUGGGGGUGAAAGGCCAAUCAAACCGGGAGAUAGCUGGUUCUCCCCGAAAGCUAUUUAGGUAGCGCCUCGUGAAUUCAUCUCCGGGGGUAGAGCACUGUUUCGGCUAGGGGGCCAUCCCGGCUUACCAACCCGAUGCAAACUGCGAAUACCGGAGAAUGUUAUCACGGGAGACACACGGCGGGUGCUAACGUCCGUCGUGAAGAGGGAAACAACCCAGACCGCCAGCUAAGGUCCCAAAGUCAUGGUUAAGUGGGAAACGAUGUGGGAAGGCCCAGACAGCCAGGAUGUUGGCUUAGAAGCAGCCAUCAUUUAAAGAAAGCGUAAUAGCUCACUGGUCGAGUCGGCCUGCGCGGAAGAUGUAACGGGGCUAAACCAUG
rnacentral:rRNA from 1 species